CUGGCUUUUGUCAGUCCAGCAAUUUAAGUGAACUCAUGGGCAUUUAGUCCAAAACUAUUAUUUAUUCUCCUGAAACCAGUGGAUCAACAAAGCAUCCCUGCUGUAUCUUUGUUUCACGAAGUGCUUGGUAAGAAAAUUUGUUUUUCACCUCAGCUAAAAAUAGCAAGCUUUGCUGUCACUGGUGUUGUUUUUAUCUGGGAGAUUAAACCCUUGUUUCUUCCACAAAUUCUGUAAUAACAGAGAUGAUAUUCACGGUCAAGUCUGACUUGUAGCUGUACUUCCAAGGUAGUUUUUUAACCAUCCUGCCAUGUGGUAAUCUUCAGGUAGGCAGUAUCCCUCUCCUCCUAACCCUACCACCCCCCCAUGCUUGUCACCAUUUUUUUUCUAUGUAGUUUCCAUUCUGGUCUUCUUCACAGGCUCUCAGUGAAGCAGCAUUCAAUGCCAUUUGCACGUAACUAUUUUCAUUUCUUAUACUUGCCAGUUGCAUUCCAUCAUCUACUGCGUGUUCCUGCAAUGUCAGGUUUCCUUCCCUGGAGGAGGAGUUUCAGUGCAGCUAUGCAUCAGUGUACACAUUCUCCUUUUUGUUUUCUUUAUAGCCUGGUAGGGGUCCUAGCCACAACAGCUGCAUUUGGUGUAUUGGCUCUAUCUUCUUCCUUAUUUCUGAUUUUUGUUUUAAAAUUUUCUAUUGCUAAAGACACACACGCCUCAUUCCUACUUCUCUUUCUACAUAUUUUUAUCUAUAUCUGCUUCUAUGAGGUGCAGGGACUGUUUCUCACCAUCCUGCCCAAUUGCUUUGGCACCAGAUGUGUCUCACUAGUCAAGAAACCCAAAUCCUAAAAGAUUGCUUCCUGUAGGUUAGUGGUGGCCAAUUCUUAAGGACGACUUGUCCAUUGGUGCCUCCCUUACCUGCAUACCCUGAAAUCACAGUGCUUUGGGCUGAAGUGACUACUGAUUAGUGCCAUAUCUUCAACUUCCCUCUGUAGGGACUGGCAGGCUCUUGGUGAAGAUCACCUCAACUCUCUGAGUAUUUAUCAUCCAGGCAUAGUUCCCUUCCACCACUUCUUUUCCAGCACAGUCUACAAACUUAUGGCCAACACUUGUCCUGUCUGUUCUGCUCCCACUGAGCUUCUCUUCAAGCUUAGAUUUGGGCCUUUGCCCUGUACAUGGGGUUGCAGGAGUGGGUCUGUGCUGCUACAGUUUCUCCUGGCACUCAGUGUGUCCCAGACAAUGGCUGCUGAGGAAUUUUUUCCUUCCCUUUGAAGAGCUGGUGCAACAGGGGUUAUUAACCAGGGUGCAUGGGAAGCAGACCUACUGGAGGGCUUUUUAGCCAGCAAGACCAAAAAACAGAUAUUUGUCAGCUACAAUCUUCAAAACACAGACAGCAAUUUCACCUUACUCAUAGAAAACAGGAUCAAAGAAGAAAUGACAGCUUUUCCAGAGAAGUUCUGACUUUGCAUCAUUGUAAAAUAAGAUGAAUUGUUUCAGAAAAACUGAUGGAAAUUUUCACACUGACAUUAAAUUAGUAUAUUUGUUUUGUAUUAUUUUGAUUGCAUUUGUGGUUGUUAUUAAAUAUAGAUGGACAUAGAUACAACUGGACCUGGAAUUUAUUUUUUUGCAAAUAAAAUUUGAAUUUGAAAUUUCAAA